AGCUCGAUUGUAUCCGUAUGGCAGCCUUGUUGGCGACACAAAACUGCCGUCGUUUAAUCAGUACAGAUUUUACUGCAGAGAGAUUGAUAUUCCUGGUCAGGGAUUGCCAUUCUUCUUGAGGGAACACAACGAAGUUUCUAUUUGUAGAAACGGAUUGUUACGCUUUAUUGCCCAAACCGUGAUCCGCUGGCCAGAGCGAUUUCCAGGAGUCCGAGCCACUGGUUCCAACAGAUUUCAGCGGUAUUUCAUCUUGGCGCCAUUAUGGAGCAAAAUCAGUCACUUUCCUUUCGGAAUCUCUAAUACGAGCCAGGCGUCACAAUUGUUUUAUCAAGUCUACAGCAAGGACAUUCUUGGUCAUGUAUCAUCUAGUCACGCCAGAGAGGUCUUUGACCGAGUCAACAAAGAUGUACAGCAGUAUCAAACAGAUCCCAGCAUUCCCAAUUUUGACGCGAGCUGGAUUUUGAAGGUGACCUGGGUUCGAUUGUAUCCAGAUACCUACCCAGUUGUCGAUUUGACAAACACGUUCCUUUUUUUACUUGCCAGUGAUGGGCAGC